GUUUGAUCAUGGCUCAGAUUGAACGCUGGCGGCAGGCCUAACACAUGCAAGUCGAGCGGAUGAAGGGAGCUUGCUCCUGGAUUCAGCGGCGGACGGGUGAGUAAUGCCUAGGAAUCUGCCUGGUAGUGGGGGAUAACGUCCGGAAACGGGCGCUAAUACCGCAUACGUCCUGAGGGAGAAAGUGGGGGAUCUUCGGACCUCACGCUAUCAGAUGAGCCUAGGUCGGAUUAGCUAGUUGGUGGGGUAAAGGCCUACCAAGGCGACGAUCCGUAACUGGUCUGAGAGGAUGAUCAGUCACACUGGAACUGAGACACGGUCCAGACUCCUACGGGAGGCAGCAGGGGGGAAUAUUGAACAAUGGGCGAAAGCCUGAUCCAGCCAUGCCGCGUGUGUGAAGAAGGUCUUCGGAUUGUAAAGCACUUUAAGUUGGGAGGAAGGGCAGUAAGUUAAUACCUUGCUGUUUUGACGUUACCAACAGAAUAAGCACCGGCUAACUUCGUGCCAGCAGCCGCGGUAAUACGAAGGGUGCAAGCGUUAAUCGGAAUUACUGGGCGUAAAGCGCGCGUAGGUGGUUCAGCAAGUUGGAUGUGAAAUCCCCGGGCUCAACCUGGGAACUGCAUCCAAAACUACUGAGCUAGAGUACGGUAGAGGGUGGUGGAAUUUCCUGUGUAGCGGUGAAAUGCGUAGAUAUAGGAAGGAACACCAGUGGCGAAGGCGACCACCUGGACUGAUACUGACACUGAGGUGCGAAAGCGUGGGGAGCAUCAGGAUUAGAUACCCUGGUAGUCCACGCCGUAAACGAUGUCGACUAGCCGUUGGGAUCCUUGAGAUCUUAGUGGCGCAGCUAACGCGACAAGUCGACCGCCUGGGGAGUACGGCCGCAAGGUUAAAACUCAAAUGAAUUGACGGGGGCCCGCACAAGCGGUGGAGCAUGUGGUUUAAUUCGAAGCAACGCGAAGAACCUUACCUGGCCUUGACAUGCUGAGAACUUUCCAGAGAUGGAUUGGUGCCUUCGGGAACUCAGACACAGGUGCUGCAUGGCUGUCGUCAGCUCAUGUCGUGAGAUGUUGGGUUAAGUCCCGUAACGAGCGCAACCCUUGUCCUUAGUUACCAGCACCUCGGGUGGGCACUCUAAGGAGACUGCCGGUGACAGACCGGAGGAAGGUGGGGAUGACGUCAAGUCAUCAUGGCCCUUACGGCCAGGGCUACACACGUGCUACAAUGGUCGGUACAAAGGGUUGCCAAGCCGCGAGGUGGAGCUAAUCCCAUAAAACCGAUCGUAGUCCGGAUCGCAGUCUGCAACUCGACUGCGUGAAGUCGGAAUCGCUAGUAAUCGUGAAUCAGAAUGUCACGGUGAAUACGUUCCCGGGCCUUGUACACACCGCCCGUCACACCAUGGGAGUGGGUUGCUCCAGAAGUAGCUAGUCUAACCGCAAGGGGGACGGUUACCACGGAGUGAUUCAUGACUGGGGUGAAGUCGGAACAAGGUA
rnacentral:rRNA from 1 species